rnacentral:rRNA from 1 species
UACGUAGGGGCAAGCGUUGGUCCGGAUUCAUUGGGCGUAAAGAGCGUGUAGGCGGCCAGGUAGGUCGGUUGUGAAAACUGGAGGCUCAACCUUCAGAGGUCGACCGAAACCAUCUGGCUAGAGUCCGGGAGAGGAGAGUGGAAGUUCCUGGUGUAGCGGUGAAAUGACGCAGAGUAUCAGGCAAGAACACCCGUGGCGAAAGCGGCUCUCUGGAACGGUACUGACGCUGA